UUUCCUUCCUUUGCCUAGCUGUAACAGAAAUUUGCAGCAGUGUAGGUAAGAGAAGGAGCUAGUUCCACGUGCCACCUCACUUGGCCAGCAAAUCUGUCUGAUCUUCCUCUUCUUAUGUUUUGCAAAUAUCUGUUUUGUUUGAGGAAAAGAUGACAGUUUUUGGGGGGAUGACAGUUUUGGGCGGAACAGGAUCAUAAAGUACACACACAGAGAAGGACAAGCUGAAUCUGCAAGAAUCCUCCAUUAUCGUUUGUGGAAGACUGCAAAAGGACAAGCAUACCCAGAUGCUGGACUAUGCUACAUGUUUCUGUUGACACUGGGGUAGCCUUAUUGAAGAUCUGAAGAACAUCACCACAGAGAUCAUGUGACUGAAGAUGGCAAUGGUGAAGUUGAGAAUUUUGGGGAACUGUCUCUUGAUAUGGUGAGGGAAAACAAGGGGCAUACAGUGGGAGGACAUCUUUUUUGCAUGCAGGUAGAUUCUAAAUCCAGCCCCUGCCUUCUCCAAGUUCAUUUGUCUUAAACCACGAUGAGCUACUAACAUUAUAGGUAAAGAAUAUUGAGAUAGAAUGGAUAAUGAUCUAUUAUAGUAGGAAAAACCUUCUAUUAUCCAUCCCAAGGUUGAGGUGCUUAUAUUCUAAACUAAUCUUGUGCCACUCUUCUUCAUACAUGAAAAAGCAUUGUGAGAAUAUUCCAGGAAGAGAAAAAAAAAUUCAGUGUCACCCAUGUCAGUUGAUGGGACAACAGUCAGAAGUCAGGAAUAGAAUCAAUCUGCUCCUUCCUCUCCACCUCUGUUGCUUAAUGUAAUUGCAGUUUCUUGGUCAAGUGGUUUAAUCUGUUAACAUUUUUAAAUCCCUCUUUAUAAACAAGGAUUGGGGAGCUUGACUUUUGAGUUUGCUUUCUCUCUCACUUCAUUGGUGCAAAAUGAGCACUGCAGGGAGAAGGGGACAGUUCAAAGCAGUUGCAUAUUAGACUACACAACAGCUUCCUGCUGCACUCAGUCCAAAAGAUGUGAGACACAGCAGGGUGAAGAGGUUCAGAAGAAAUGUGCUCUCUUGUCUCUCUUCCCUCCCAUCUUAGUUGACCUUGAAAACUGCAAGUGGGCUGCUUGAUUGGGAGAAAAAAUUCCCCUCUCAGCAACACAAUUUCUUACUGCUUUUCAUCUCCACAGGUGAAAGAGGAAGUAUUUGCAUCCUUGCUAUUACUGGUGUUUGGAGGCAAUUCAUUCCUUCUAGAGAGUUCUAAGAACUAGCAGUCCCUGAUGUCAUUAAAAUUAUCCUGUUUCUUUCAAGUUACAAUCAGGUUACACAUUUAAAAAUGUCUAUCAAAGGCCAUAGUUAAAUCCUGUAUUUCAGUACCUGAUUCACCUGUUGGGUAUUAUAGAUUACUAAUUCUAAAAACAGCCAAAUUCAUAAAGCAAUGAAUGAAUUAAUGCCAUUGUUUGCCAAAAAAACCUGAAGCAGCCUGGCUUUUGACAACAAAAUGCAUUCAAUUUAAAGAACAAGCCAACCAUCUGCAAACAUUGAUUAUUAAAAGGCAAGACGGUGCUCUUACAGGAAGCAAAGAGGCAUUGCAUGCCAUGUGUUUUUGGUUGCAAUCAUGAAAAGAAGAGUAAAAUGAUGAUGACUGGUUUGUCCUUUGUAAAAAUAUGUGAUUAGCCAUUUUUCUGGUGUUAAAAUACUUUUGUGCCCGUAGUCUUAACGAUUAUGAACUGCUCUUCUGCUCUUUCUUUCAGUAGUAAGAAAAGAGGGAAAUACUACAUGAAAAUACAGCUAGAGGAAAGUGGCUGUGCCAUGUUCUCCCCUUCUUCCCACUUUAAAGAAAAAGAGAGCUGAGCAUAACAACUCUUCUGCAAAAUCCUCUUCUGAGAACCACCCUGAGAUAACAGGAAAGGGGUACACUUUAAUUUUGAAAAUAGAUCACCACAUGGUGGUGCUAUAGGCAUGAAGAAUGCUUCUAAGAAGGUACAAAGGUAUUACACUUCAAGAACCUAAAUGAGAAUCUAGGGAAAUCCUACUGUUAACAUGUAACCAUUGU